AGUUUGAUUAUGGCUCAAGAUUGAACGCUGGCGGGAUGCUUUACAUGCAAGUCGAACGGCAGCACGGACUUCGGUCUGGUGGCGAGUGGCGAACGGGUGAGUAAUGUAUCGGAACGUGCCUGGUAGCGGGGAUAACUACGCGAAAGCGUAGCUAAUACCGCAUAUACGCCCUUCGGGGAAAGCGGGGGACCUUCGGGCCUCGCACUAUUAGAGCGGCCGAUAUCGGAUUAGCUAGUUGGUGGGAAGUAACGGCUCACCAAGCGGUGAUCCGUAGCUGGUUUGAGAGGACGACCAGCCACACCAGGACUGAGACACGGCCAGACUCCUACGGGAGGCAGCAGUGGGGAAUUUUGGACAAUGGGGGAAACCUGAUCCAGCCAUCCCGCGUGUGCGAUGAAGGCCUUCGGGUUGUAAAGCACUUUUGGCAGGAAAACGGCUGCGGGAUAUUACCCCGUGCAACUGACGGUACCUGCAGAAUAAGCACCGGCUAACUACGUGCCAGCAGCCGCGGUAAUACGUAGGGUGCAAGCGUUAAUCGGAAUUACUGGGCGUAAAGCGUGCGCAGGCGGUUCCGGAAAGAAGAUGUGAAAUCCCAGAGCUUAACUUUGGAACUGCAUUUUUAACUACCGAGCUAGAGUGUGUCAGAGGGAGGUGGAAUUCCGCGUGUAGCAGUGAAAUGCGUAGAUAUGCGGAGGAACACCGAUGGCGAAGGCAGCCUCCUGGGAUAACACUGACGCUCAUGCACGAAAGCGUGGGGAGCAAACAGGAUUAGGUACCCUGAAGUCCACGCCCUAAACGAUGUCAACUAGCUGUUGGGGCCUUCGGGCCUUGGUAGCGCAACUAACGCGUGAAGUUGACAUCGUUUAGGGACGAUGGACUACCGGGUAUCUGUCCUGACCUUCCCACGCUCGUGCAUGAGAAGCGUCAGUGUUAUCCCAGGUUCGCCAUCGGUCUCACUCCGCAUAUCUACGCAUUUCACUGCUACACGCGAAUUCCACCUCCCUCUA
rnacentral:misc_RNA from 1 species